GCUGGGGCAGUGGCGCGUGCCUCUAGUCCUAGCUACUCUGGAGGCGGAGGCUGCAGGAUGGCUUGAGCCCAGGAGUUCUGGGCUGUAGUGAGCUAUGCUGAUCAGGUGUCCACACUCAUUUCAGCAUCAAUAUGGUGACCUUCUGGGAACGGGGGACCACCAGGCUGCCUAAGGAGGGGUGAACGGCCCCAGGUCAGAAACAGAGCGGGUCAAAAUUCCUGUGCUGAUCAGUAGUGGGAUCGUGCCUAUGAAUAGCCACUGCACUCCAGCCUGGGCAACAUAGCUGGAGAGACCCCAU
rnacentral:SRP_RNA from 1 species